GAAAACACAGUGAAUUAUUUCAUCGUCAAAGAAUGUUUUAAUGUAUACUACAUAUCUCGAGCAGUAGCACAAUUAUGAACCUCAAUGAACAAGAUAAGUAACGAGCAGAGCCAGAAGCAUCAGCACAUAAGCUAUGCCUUGAUCGAUCGCCAUGCCAUCGCUGCUCAUGGGCGCUGGAGCCUCCGCCUGUCCCCGCGCAAGCUUCGCGAGGCUCGAAAAGAAAAAGAAGAAGAAGAAGACGAAGAAGCCGCCGGCACGAACAGAGGCCAUCUUUGAUCUCUGAAGCAAGUAGAAGUGAUACUUGCAGAUUGAAUAAAUUUCUUCGCCGAGUGCAUUUAUAUAGAGUUUGGAGAGGAAUGCUGGUCGUCGACGGCAUCGGAAAGCCGGCGGCUUGUUUCAGUUGGUUUCUUGCAGGGAAAAGGAGAGAUGAGGACGACGUUUCUUGGAAUUUGAGAAGUUGGUCAGAGGUCAACGUUGAGGGUUUUGGUUUGGAUUUGUUUAGACGGCACGUGGUUCGUCUCUAGAUGAAUUGUGGUGGAGUCCAGUCGAAGAAGGUUCGUGGAACUUUGACCGUUCGGCUGGACAUCAUCUCUGACCGUGUGGAAAUGUUUCGAAGCGUGGGAAAUGGAAAUUGCGUGGAUUGCUCUUGUGACGAGUUUUUUAAUUUGACCAAAUUUCUGGAAGCAAAUUUUAUUUUGCUCUUUAUAUUUACCUAUAAUCUUUCAUGUGAAUUUUAAGGCACAAUUUGAACAAAUCCCAAUUUAUUCGGGAAAGCCCGAGCACGAGCAGAAACGAAGCUGAGCAGGAGAGGAAUCGAAGAAAGGGAGAACAGCAGCAAGAACAAGAGUUACGGGAAACAGGCAUAGAUCAAGCGUUGUGUCGCCUAGGGUUUUGCUUCGUCCAUGACUUCGCAGUGAGUGAUACGCUGAUCUUCUACACGGAUACGCUAUUCUUAUCCUUCCUGUAGUGGUUCUUUUGAUAGUUCCAUUGACGAUUGAAGCAACAUGGACAUAGUUAUAGCGCUACUGAUGGUUCUGUCAAACUAGCUCGCGUUUGGCCUGUCAGGAGUGAACGCAUUUCUUCACUGUUAUCAUCUUUUUCAAAGAAAAAAAAAAACUCAGCAUUUUACUGAACUGCGUACGUUUGCUGAACUGCGUUGUAAGUUUCAAUGUUACCCAUUUCGUGUACCUAAGUACCGUAAUUUCCAAAACGCAUAGCACAUUAUGUCCCUCUUUUAUCAACAAUGGACUGUUUGGUUAA